rfam:Pelagibaca abyssi strain JLT2014, complete genome.
UCCCCGUCACAACGGCUUCCUGGCGUGACGGUCGGUACUCAAUGGAGCG